UACGUAGGGUGCGAGCGUUAAUCGGAAUUACUGGGCGUAAAGCGUGCGCAGGCGGUUUUGUAAGCCAGAUGUGAAAGCCCCGGGCUCAACCUGGGAAUGGCAUUUGGGACUGCAAGGCUCGAGUGCGGCAGAGGAGACUGGAAUUCCUGGUGUAGCAGUGAAAUGCGUAGAUAUCAGGAGGAAUACCGAUGGCGAAGGCAGGUCUCUGGGCUGACACUGACGCUCAUGCACGAAAGCGUGGGGAGCAAACAGG
rnacentral:rRNA from 1 species